UACGGAGGAUCCAAGCGUUAUCCGGAAUUACUGGGCGUAAAGAGUUGCGUAGGUGGCAUAGUAAGCAAGUAGUGAAAGCGUGUGGCUCAACCAUACAUCCAUUACUUGAACUGCUAAGCUAGAAGAUGAGAGAGGUAGAUGGAAUUCCUAGUGGAGGGGUAAUAUCCGUAGAUAUUAGGAGGAACACCGAUGGCGUAGGCAGUCUACUGGCUCAUUCUUGACACUAAGGCACGAAAGCGUGGGGAGCAAACAGG
rnacentral:rRNA from 1 species